AUUGAACGCUGGCGGCAGGCCUAACACAUGCAAGUCGAGCGGAUGAAGAGAGCUUGCUCUCUGAUUUAGCGGCGGACGGGUGAGUAAUGCCUAGGAAUCUGCCUGGUAGUGGGGGAUAACGUUCCGAAAGGAACGCUAAUACCGCAUACGUCCUACGGGAGAAAGCAGGGGACCUUCGGGCCUUGCGCUAUCAGAUGAGCCUAGGUCGGAUUAGCUAGUUGGUGAGGUAAUGGCUCACCAAGGCGACGAUCCGUAACUGGUCUGAGAGGAUGAUCAGUCACACUGGAACUGAGACACGGUCCAGACUCCUACGGGAGGCAGCAGUGGGGAAUAUUGGACAAUGGGCGAAAGCCUGAUCCAGCCAUGCCGCGUGUGUGAAGAAGGUCUUCGGAUUGUAAAGCACUUUAAGUUGGGAGGAAGGGCAGUAAGUUAAUACCUUGCUGUUUUGACGUUACCGACUGAAUAAGCACCGGCUAACUUCGUGCCAGCAGCCGCCGUAAUAC
rnacentral:rRNA from 1 species